GUCAAGUAUCAUGUCGAUGUUGAAUAAGAAACACUGAUUUGGAUAGCCCGGUGUUGAUAUUUUGUAUAAGUUUCGGUACAGACUGACAAAAGCAGGAAAGAUAGAUCAUCAAAUUUCUGGAGCCCAGCUUUGGACUCAUCUGAAGACGAAAAUCAACAAGGAGAAAGCCAAACACAUAUGCUGGAUGCAAGUGAGGUUGAUAUAAACAAAGCAUCUGCUUGGGUUUCACCAAAAA